UGGGGAAUCUUAGACAAUGGGGGAAACCCUGAUCUAGCCAUGCCGCGUGAACGAUGAAGGCCCUAGGGUUGUAACGUUCUUUCAGCGGGGAAGAUAAUGACGGUACCCGCAGAAGAAGCCCCGGCUAACUCCGUGCCAGCAGCCGCGGUAAUACGGAGGGGGCUAGCGUUGUUCGGAAUUACUGGGCGUAAAGCGCACGUCGGCGGAUCAGUCAGUCAGGGGUGAAAUCCCGGGGCUCUACCCCGGAUCUGCCUUUGAUUCUCCUGGUCUGGAGUCCGAGAGAGGUGAGUGGAAUUCCGAGUGUAGAGGUGAAAUUCGUAGAUAUUCGGAGGAACACCAGUGGCGAAGGCGGCUCACGGGCUCGGUACUGACGCUGAGGUGCGAAAGCGUGGGGAGCAAACAGGAUUAGAUACCCGUGUAGUCC
rnacentral:rRNA from 1 species